CUAAGGUAGCUAAAUUGAUGUGUGUUUGAUUAAAUAAACUAGAUUAAGGGUCAAAAAGUCAUGAAAUGUGUGCGAAUCACAUUAAAUGGAGAAACAAAAAGAUGGCUAGUAAACGCGUCGAAGCCUUUGACCCUUUCCACUUUCUUGUCGCAUUCGUUGAUACUUUGAGAUUUCUGGUAAUGGGGAAGAGACCUGAUAUUUUAUAUU